GAGCCGGUAAGUAAAUUUUAAAACAGACUUUAUUAAAUUACUAAAAAAAAAGGGUAUGGGGAAGGGAGGCUAAAAUCCAACCCUCCUUUUGGAGAGUAACAAUCUCGAGUCUCUUAGACUCCGUCACGGGAGAUCUCAGGUGAGUCCUUCACUCCUCUUUCCUUCUGGCUAUGUGACGACAAUCAGCUUAUUCACAAGUGCCCCUUUGUUCUGACUUGCAGGACGACUGUCCAGGGCCCUCUCCUUUCCUGGACGUAACAGAUACAAGUGGUAAGUAUUGAGAGUUUGGAUGCACAAUGGAUACCUGCUGCUACCUUUGACGAACUCCGAGGCGGCCCAGCGGGUUGUACUCCCGGUCGUCCAGCUGCUGGGGGAACUGCACAAGGGCUACCGGGUUCCAACUAAAACCGUACUGGUAAGUGUACGGGAGGGGGUUUCCGCGGUCUCUGUAUCCUGAGUGACGAGUCGACAUGCAGGUAGACGCUUCAAAGGGACCCGCUAGAUCUGCACAAAAGCAUAAGUGUAAGUGUAACAGGACUGGACACGGAUAGUGGACAGAGGGGCCGCUGGCUCUUCACUCGGAGGCACAAGUAAGUCCGUAGGAAAGACAACUGGGGUUUCACUUGAGCAUGCAGGCGAGUGUACAACACAAUAUGCUGGCUUUAGCUUUGGGCAUAAGGUAAGUACAUCCAAUAUAACUGGGACUUCACUUGGGCAUACAGGAGCGUACAACACAAUAUGCUGGCUUUAGCUUUGGGCAUAAAGGUAAGUACAUCCAAUAUAACUGGGACUUCACUUGGGCAUACAGGAGCGUAAAACACAAUAUGCUGGCUUUAGCUUUGGGCAUAAGGUAAGUACAUCAAAGGUAACUGGGACUUCACUCUGGGCAGACAGGUAAUAAUACACGCACAGCUGAUUUCCUCCUACAGCAGCCAACUCCUCACCAUUAAUACUUCCCAGUAGAUCCACACUGUUCUUACUUGAAAUUGUUUCCCACCACCGUCACGUGGGGAAGAAGGGUCAGGAUGUCAUCGACGGCAUAUAAUUGGAGAUGUUUUCUUCGAGCCUCGGUAUUCACUUCCUUCACAGGAUUUCGUCGGGCCUGAAAGGUGGUUGUUGACGACACAACACAGCACAACACUGCAAUUUUCAAGUGUAUACACUCACAGCAAAGGACAAAGACUCACCCACUGCACUCCACACACUCUGGUGAAUUUAGGGUCAACACCCCGUCUGACCAAAGACUCUUCCUGGAAGUCGUGAAGACACUGAUGCCACGAAUAUUCAGAUUUAAACGUUGCCGCCACAACAGCCCAACAUCCUCUCUCGCUCACUGGUCCCGGCUCACCCACAAUCCUCCUCCACAGUGGGGCCGCUCACAUACUAUGCCACAAACUCACAAAACGCUCACAGAUGGUUCACUCUAGAUGAUUAUACUGCUGUACGAUGGUUUAGGGUACUCACACCGUUACUACACGAGGUCUCUUUUCCCUCUUCUUUCCAGCUCCUGGGUACUUCUCCUGCUGCCACGUGCCCUGUCGAAAAGGCCUCCUUCGGCGAUACUUCCGGUGAGUCUUCCUGUUUUCAACCACUCAGAAUUUGUUACACAUGUCCAUGGAGCAUUUCACAGUUAAGUAGACAUUCCAAUAUACUCAGCCCGGUGUCUGUUUCUGCCAAACCCUUGUCUCCGUCUUUGCCCAGCCAACAAUAUCCUCUGCCUUCUUUCCACGGUACUCGCCCAAACACUCCAACUCUCUCGCCGUAUCGGCUGAAAUAAAACAAAGAACUUUUUCCCCCCCUCUGCAGUUUCUGAGGCCCUCUUUAUACUCCUCCUUCUCUUCAUACUGCCCAAUCCACGAUCGCCCCGUUCAUCUAUCCACCUGCGAUCAAUAAAACCCUGAUUUCCCUUCCCGGAGUUCCCGGUGUUUGAGAAUUAUGGUCCGGGUGGAACCAAUCUCCGUCAUUUUUUAGUUCCGCCCUUACGAAGUCAC
ensembl:lncRNA